GACGAACGCUGGCGGCGUGCCUAAUACAUGCAAGUCGAGCGAACGGACGAGAAGCUUGCUUUUCUGAUGUUAGCGGCGGACGGGUGAGUAACACGUGGAUAACCUACCUAUAAGACUGGGAUAACUUCGGGAAACCGGAGCUAAUACCGGAUAAUAUUUUGAACCGCAUGGUUCAAAAGUGAAAGACGGUCUUGCUGUCACUUAUAGAUGGAUCCGCGCUGCAUUAGCUAGUUGGUAAGGUAACGGCUUACCAAGGCAACGAUGCAUAGCCGACCUGAGAGGGUGAUCGGCCACACUGGAACUGAGACACGGUCCAGACUCCUACGGGAGGCAGCAGUAGGGAAUCUUCCGCAAAGGGCGAAAGCCUGACGGAGCAACGCCGCGUGAGUGAUGAAGGUCUUCGGAUCGUAAAACUCUGUUAUUAGGGAAGAACAUAUGUGUAAGUAACUGUGCACAUCUUGACGGUACCUAAUCAGAAAGCCACGGCUAACUACGUG
rnacentral:rRNA from 1 species